GUCGAACGCUGGCGGCGUGCUUAACACAUGCAAGUCGAACGAAGUGGCGAACGGGUGAGUAAUACGUGGGUAAACUGCCCUUCAGAGGGGGACAACAGUUGGACACGAAUGAUAAUACCGCAUACUGAAGGAGGGGAUUGCGUCUGCUGCGCUAGUUGGAGGGGUAACGGCCCACCAAGGCGAUGAUCAGUAGCCGGUCUGAGAGGAGGAACGGCCACAUGGGGACUGGGACACGGCCCAGACUCCUACGGGAGGCAGCAGUGGGGAAUCUUCCGCAAUGGACGAAAGUCUGACGGAGCAACGCCGCGUGAGUGAUGACGGCCUUCGGGUUGUAAAGCUCUGUUAAUCGGGACGCGGUACCGGAAUAGAAAGCCACGGCUAACUAUGUGCCAGCAGCCGCGGUAAUAC
rnacentral:rRNA from 1 species